GGAACCACAUAGCUCAGUAGAAGAGCAUCCGUUUUGCGUGCAGAAGUUUCCAGGUUCAACUCUUGGCAUCUCCA